rnacentral:rRNA from 1 species
UGCCAGCAGCCGCGGUAACACGGGGGGCGCAAGCGUUAUUCGGAAUUAUUGGGCGUAAAGGGCGCGUAGGCGGCGCAUCGAGUUAGGCGUGAAAUCCCCGGGCUUAACCUGGGAACUGCAUUCGAUACUGCAGAACUAGAGUAUGGUAGAGGGAAGUGGAAUUUCCGGUGUAGCGGUGAAAUGCGUAGAUAUCGGAAGGAACACCAGUGGCGAAGGCGACUUCCUGGGCCAAUACUGACGCUGAGGUGCGAAAGCGUGGGGAGCAAACAGGAUUAGAUA